rnacentral:misc_RNA from 1 species
GGACUUGAGGUGUGCUGGACUUUCAUUAGUUCGGCUCCCUUUUAAAUGCAUCAGCGGAGCCACUCGCUUCCGGCUAACAUCGACGUGAUAAUCAUCUUACGUCGUUGUCUACCGGUCCCAGAGUCCGCUUAUAAUGGUCUUCGGAUAACACAUAAUGACAAUUUGACCUCAAAUCAGGUAGGACUACCCGCUGAACUUAA